rnacentral:rRNA from 1 species
UACGUAGGGGGCUAGCGUUGUCCGGAUUUAUUGGGCGUAAAGAGCGUGUAGGCGGCCAGGUAGGUCUGGUGUGAAAACUCGAGGCUUAACCUCGAGAUGUCAUCGGAAACCAUUUGGCUAGAGUCCGGGAAGAGGAGAGUGGAAUUCCUGGUGUAGCGGUGAAAUGCGCAGAUAUCAGGAAGAACACCAAUGGCGAAAGCAGCUCUCUGGGACGGUACUGACGCUGAGGAGCGAAAGCGUGGGUAGCAAACAGG